GAGGGGCGGCGAGGAGAGCCUGGAGCUCUGCCCUGGGCCAGGAUUCUGCCCCUUGUCCUUUAAGGGGGAGGCAGGACACGCUGCGCACCCGGGGGAAGGACGCGCCGUGGUGCCCCAGGCUGGGGACGGAGCGGAUGGUGGAAGGGUUCUUGCCCUCCGUCCAUCAGGCCAUCAGGCCCCUGAGGCACACCCACCAGUCCUGAGAAGAUCCGGUGCCCACGCCCGGCCCCCUCCCCCGCGUCCCGCUCCUGGGCCUCACACUCUCCCUCCUCCCACCCCAAACUGGACGUCACUUUGCCCCCUGCCAUCCCCCACGCUGUUCCUCCACCUCGUAGGUCUCCCUCGCAACCCGUUCCCUUCUCUCACAGCAGAGCGGCCGGCUCCUCCCCCACGCUGAGUCCCAAGCAGGAGACAGCUUUGCUGGGAGCUCAGAGAGCCGGCACAGCCCUGUCCGACGGCACCCUCUGUCGGCCCGACAGCGAAUGACCGCCACGGCCAGGUCCUGAGGUUGUGUGCACACUCAGACGUGAACACACAGACGUGCAUAUUCACACGCACACGCACAUGCGGCAACUCGCACACUCAGGCACAUGCACACUCGGAUGCGUGCACACACGUGCAUGCGCACCCACACUCAAACACAGGGUCACACAGCUCAUACACACACACACAUGCUCCCACACACAAACACAGGGUC
rnacentral:lncRNA from 10 species